GUUUAUUUGCUUGUUAGAUGACCAUAGAUUGAACAAAAGAAAUUUAGGUGUAUAUUAUAUAAUAUAUUGUAUAUAUUAUGAGCCAUAUUAUCAUUUAAAUUAAUACAAUAAUGAAUUAAAUUUGGUAAAUCCAAAUUAUAACAUUCCAUCUCCAUACUGAAAAAAGUUUUCCCGAUUAACGCGCCACCUGGCUAUACGAAACCAGCAACUGGUUAAUCUCGAUUCACUUAACCCAAGCUUUACCUCACAUCAACACUGAAAUUAUUUCGAUUAUUGUAUUCCCGGUUAAUUCGAUCGGGAUUACUUUUAUCUCGUCUAACUCGUCAAUGUGUAGUAUAAGGGACAACAAGAAAAUGGAACAGAAGAGACAACCCAAGUAGUAAUAACAGGAAAACCCAAAGAAGGAUGGAAAGAUACGUGUUAGAAUUGACCAGGAGGGAUCUUGAAACCAACAUAUGGAUAAGAAAAUCAACCGAAGUAGAAGGCAUAAUGGUAGAAUUAGAAGCAAUAAGUGGCGUUGGGCGGGUCAUAUAGCGAAAUACACCGAUGAACAAAGAGAAUUACAGAGUAGCAAUCGAGGCGAAGGAAAAGGCAUUUUGGCAGACAAGACAAACGCCGGAGAGACGGUAUAAGAAAAGUAAUUGGUUCCCAAUGGAUGCGGAUAGAUACAUACGUAAACAAAAGAAGGAGGCAUAUAUAUAUUCAGCAGUAUGCGAAAUAGAGAUGACGAUGACUAGGCUGGUGAUAUCCAUACCGAAAACUUGAAAGCGAAUAUUUUUAAGGGAAUAAAUAAGAAAAGACGUUUCAACAUCCGUACAUCAUAUGUUUAUCAAAUAGUGAGUUAGACUAGCCAUCGGUUAGAGCCCCGAAAGCGGAGUCCCAUGUUUUACUGAGACAUCUUUGUAUCUCCAAUGCCAUCAUCAUAGUGGAUAUUUUGUUCAUAAAAAUACAAAGGAUAACGAAAUUAUAAGUAUGGACAAAAACCGAGAUAGCGUGUCGACCAUGGAUAUUCAACUAUGCCCAGCCAUUACCAAGGACCCAAAAAUUUGAAGUUAAAGAAAAAAUCAAUCUUGGGUUGAUACUGUAAUAAUUAUUGAAUUUAUUGUCCGCUUUAAACACAAAGGGUCUCCGCAUUUUCUAUAAAACGAAAUGGUUAAAAGAGUUCAUUUCUUCUGGAGUAUCUGUUAUAAAGAUUCGAUGAAUUCGCUAUAGCCCCUUAUCGUUUAUAAACGAAUAAAUAGCUGGACUGCGGGUUUCUUCGGGGCCCCUUCCGUCGGUGGCCUGGGUUAUUGGGGCGCGGAUCCGGGGCGGUGCUCACCAUUUUCCUCGGCGUAAGUAAAGCGUUGAAGUAACGAGUGGCAGGAAGGCGUGGUAAUUCCUUUGUCGAUGACCAGAGACGGAUUUUACGGCCCGCUCGCUUGACUAACCGACCGCGACCCCGUCGGCGGCGGGUCGACGACCCGGGACGGACCGACCCACCCCGUAAUUCGCUAAUUAACUUUUUUGCUUUCUAUUUUCAGGUUGGGUGCAGUUCGGUCUGCAGUGCUACAAGUUCUUCAACCCGGCCGCCUCCUGGGACCGAGCGGCCCUACUGUGUCACAGGCGAGUAUGCCGAUAAUUAUCGCUACGGGGGGAGGCCCGUCUUACUCCCGCCAAAAUCGGCAAUAGUUCCGAAAAAUAUUUUUACUUACAAAUCGACUGACGUUUUCUGCGACCAUUCGGUUAUCAAGAAUUUUAUUCGUCUACAUUUCGUAUUUCUAUCGUAUCGCGCGAUUGGUUUCGACGUGAAUGACGCCAUUUUUUUCCAUAGCCAGGUGAGAAAUAUCACGUGACGCAGAGACCACCACUCGGCACGUGACCCAGCGUCAUUUGUCACGUGAUAUUCGCGGUCGUGUGAUGCGGAACAGUCGUCCAUACUUUCAAAUACUUAAUGAACCGAUUCAUCUUUAAAAAUUCCUUUUUUAUUUUUGAUUAUUUAUACAUACGAUUAAUAGCAAAAAUAAAUAAUAAUAAUUAUUAUAUCAAUACACAAAAAUUAUACUUAAGCAAUUUUAUGUUUUAAAAUUUUUUAUACGCGAUACAAUAUAUGGUAGCCUGAGAAAACAGAAACCUUCAAAUUAACGAUAUUAACUGUAGUUUGGAAACUGGACUACAUCCCAUUCGGGGGACACGGUCCCAGUCACUUAAACGGGGCGUCGGGCCGAUUCGGCACGCGGCUGAACCGGCGCGCCAUCUCGCUAGUCUCUACCCGGAAGAGUUGGCGACAAUUAAACUAUUUUAAGAUGGGAAAGGUUGCUCCGUGACGUUUAAGUCUAGGUAAAUAGCGGGCCGGCUGGGUGGGGCCGACUGAUUGUUCUCACGCAGUCACCACCCCUAUUUAACUUCCGAAAAUUCUCCGGAAUUAUCGCGAAACAUCCGCUUCCCAUAUCCCUGUGGAGUUAACCGCCGGUUGAGGACCCGGUAUGGCGCUGGUCCAGAUAUAAUUCGCCACGAUAGUCACGCGAGAAGACGACUUUGCCCGUAAUUUAUACGUCAUAUUUAUCACGUGAUAUGGAACAGUGGUGAAAAUUGGCGGCGCCAUUUCUCCAGCAGUCGGUAUGUAGGUUAUGGUGGGAUUUGUGUCUCGGCCACUAAAAAAGUCAGUUAGGCCAUCGACUGGUGUCGGCCAUCACUACCAGUCUGCGAAAGCCGUCCUAAGCGCUCCGCCAUUAGCUACGCGCCGACAGUCGCCGCCGAUUCUUCGUCGAACGAUGAUGGUUUUAAUCGACUCCAUCUGUUAAUACCUGGCCGAGCGUUUAUUCGGACCGGUUUUCCUUACGUUGUUCUGGCGGGAUUUAGGUCAUCCGGCCACGAAAAUUUUCUCCCCGCCAAACAAAUGUUGGGAAGGAGUAGAAAGUAGCGGGUGGAGCCGAUUUUCUCGCGCCACGCCGGCUAUUUUCAUUUUUUUUCCUCUUCUAUUUUCAGGUACGGUAGCCGCCUAGUGGUAGUACGAGAUUUUUGGCAGAACAAUUUCAC
rnacentral:lncRNA from 1 species